ACACCGGCAGCUCUAGUGGUAGCAAUUUUUAUUGGGCCUAAAGCGUCCGUAGCCGGUUUAAUAAGUCUCUGGUGAAAUCCUGCAGCUUAACUGUGGGAAUUGCUGGAGAUACUAUUAGACUUGAGAUCGGGAGAGGUUAGAGGUACUCCCAGGGUAGAGGUGAAAUUCUGUAAUCCUGGGAGGACCGCCUGUUGCGAAGGCGUCUAACUGGAACGAUUCUGACGGUGAGGGACGAAAGUUAGGGGCGCGAACCGGAUUAGAUACCCGGGUAGUCCUAACUGUAAACGAUGCGGACUUGGUGUUGGGGUGGCUUUGAGCUGCUCCAGUGCCGAAGGGAAGCUGUUAAGUCCGCCGCCUGGGAAGUACGGUCGCAAGACUGAAACUUAAAGGAAUUGGCGGGG
rnacentral:rRNA from 1 species